rnacentral:misc_RNA from 1 species
UUCGCCGUCUUCGUUUCUCUUUCUUCGCGGACGAACACGCGCUGGGGCUGCAAGUUUGCAGAAUCCCUGGUCCUUAACAGGAUAUGCGUUAGGGGCUUGUAGCUCAGUUGGUUAGAGCGCGCGCUUGAUAAGCGUGAGGUCGGAAGUUCAAGUCUUCCCAGGCCCACCACUUUCAUCGAGUGAGCAUUCGUCUUCUGGUUACGGGGCCAUAGCUCAGCUGGGAGAGCGCGUGCUUUGCAAGCAUGAGGUCGUCGGUUCGAUCCCGUCUGGCUCCACCAGAUGGUUUGAUCACCGAGAUCUUGUACCGUCGUCCGCGAAACAUCACUUCGCACUUACUAGUCUGGAUAGACAGUAAGCUGCGUGAUUUCUGACAUCGUAAAGAGGAGAUCGAUCCGAGUUGGAUCGUGCGGCAAGCAAUUGCCACGCGAGACUUCAUUAUCUCCGGAUCAUUUUCGGCGCUCGACGCUGACCGCAAGGUUGGCUGCGAGUUGUAAAAUGAUCCUUUUAGCGAAGCUUGACCGCCUCGCUAUCGGAACGAUCUUACGAAGCAAGCUGGUCUUUCUAGUCAAUGUCCGGUUGUACGUAGCAUUCAUCGAGGGUGCGCGCCGCAAGGCAAUCGUACAGACAACAUUCUGCCGAGUGUGUGGACAUUGAUAAUGAGAGCAAUCAAGUGCCUUAUGGUGUUCGGUGGAUGCCUUGGCGCUGAGAGGCGAUGAAGGACGUGCUACGCUGCGAUAAGCCGUGGGGAGCUGCGAAGAAGCUUUGAUCCGCGGAUUU